AUCUGAAGAAGAUAACGGUUGACCCCAUUGUCACCUCAACUUGGCCUGGGUUUCCUUCUGCCUAUCUGUCAGAUAUUGCGAUGUGACAACCUUUCUUGGAUAACUCUUACUGAAUAUUGUGGGAUUUCCCUUUGAGUAAACAGGAAGAAUAUGCUGGGGAAGAAAUACAAGGCUCCCACUUCCCCAUUUUAUACAAGUUUACUCAGAAAUAAUUACUACUGACUUCAAUGUAGCUGCUUCUCAAGCACAUAUAGGAUUGCAGCCGUAGUAAUUUUACUUAGAUAUCUUUAUUUCUCAAUGGUUCUGCUCUUAGCCUGCAGGCAUACUCGAACCUCUCUUGUCUUUAAACAGAAUCAUUACCAUACACCCAUUGGAGGAAAACUUGAAGUGAUUUUCUUUUUAAAAAAAAAUGUGGUGAGGGGGAGUGAGUUUAAUAAGUUAUUGAUACUCCCUACAUUUCAAGAAAGCAAUAAAUUUAGAGCCCGUAAGUUCAUGAAUUGUACACAUCUGUACAGCUUCAGCAAAUAAAGAUUGUUACCAUAGCAACGGCCACAUCGUAUGGAACAUGCUUGUGAAAAAUCAGAGCUUCAUAUUAAGGGAAUCCGUCUGCUCCUCCCCCCCCCCCACUGUACGGAACAUGAAAAUUUGUUUCAUUUUUCUAUGCUGUGUUUUUAGCAUUUGUGUGUAUCUUUAAUUAUAGCUCUUGCUCGGGCUCCUUUGUUCUAAAUUACACUCUUAGCAUUUGAAUUUUGCAUUGUGUAAUUUUAAAAUCAAAAGCAUAUACACACGGCUUUAAUGAUUAUGGGGAAAAAUGCGGGCAGCCCAGCUACAAUCUCGUUCUCUUGCGAGGGGAGUUCUGGCUGAGCAUUCUCUGUGAAGAGCAUCCCUUUCUUCUAUUACUCAUAUGAUUCAAAGCUUUCAUUUCCAACUCCUUUCUGGUUCUCGUGGCCUACUCUGUUCUCUCUGUCAAAACAUAAUGGGACUUCAGUGGGAGAAUCAAGCCAACGUAUUCUCCGUAAAUACGCACGUCCCUUAAGGAAACAGGUACCAUCAAAAGAAGUAGUGAGAAAUAAUCACUGCUCUACGGUGUUUUAAAAUUUCCUCUCUAAUAUGGAUUGGUUUCUGUCUCUUGUUGUCUUCUUUUGUAAAGUCCACGUUGUGAAAAGCCGAGAUGGUUUGGCUAGGUAACAAGGCUUGGAUCUGAAUUCCUCUUAAUCAAUCAAUUCCACUUUUGUGCCUUCUGAACGUAUUAGUCCUGGCAUUUCUUACUAGCUUGGCUAAUGAGCACGAUGGCCAAGAAUCCUGGAUCUCUUAGACUAAUAAAUCUAGGAGGAAACAACUUGGUGCUUCUUCACUCCUUUAUGCAUCUGAAAAGCUCUAGUAGAAUUGACGAGUGAGUAGAUCAAUACCACGUUUCCCUGAAAAUAAGACAGGCUUUUAUUU